ACGGGGAUAACUCCGGGAAACCGGGGCUAAUACCGGAUAAUAAGAAGAAACGCAUGUUUCUUUUUUGAAAGUCGGUUUCGGCUGACACUUACAGAUGAGCCCGCGGCGCAUUAGCUAGUUGGUGAGGUAACGGCUCACCAAGGCGACGAUGCGUAGCCGACCUGAGAGGGUGAUCGGCCACACUGGGACUGAGACACGGCCCAGACUCCUACGGGAGGCAGCAGUAGGGAAUCUUCGGCAAUGGGCGAAAGCCUGACCGAGCAACGCCGCGUGAGCGAUGAAGGCCUUCGGGUCGUAAAGCUCUGUUGUUAGAGAAGAACAAGUACGAGAGUAACUGCUCGUACCUUGACGGUACCUAACCAGAAAGCCACGGCUAACUACGUGCCAGCAGCCGCGGUAAUACGUAGGUGGCAAGCGUUAUCCGGAAUUAUUGGGCGUAAAGCGCGCGCAGGCGGUCUCUUAAGUCUGAUGUGAAAGCCCACGGCUCAACCGUGGAGGGUCAUUGGAAACUGGGAGACUUGAGUGCAGGAGAGAAAAGUGGAAUUCCACGUGUAGCGGUGAAAUGCGUAGAGAUGUGGAGGAACACCAGUGGCGAAGGCG
rnacentral:rRNA from 2 species